CCUACGGGUGGCUGCAGUGGGGAAUAUUGGACAAUGGGCGAAAGCCUGAUCCAGCCAUGCCGCGUGAGUGAUGAAGGCCUUAGGGUUGUAAAGCUCUUUUGGCGGGGAAGCGGUACCCGCAGAAUAAGCACCGGCUAACUUCGUGCCAGCAGCCGCGGUAAUACGAAGGGUGCUAGCGUUGUUCGGAAUUACUGGGCGUAAAGCGCGCGUAGGCGGCCGUACUCGUCGGGGGUGAAAUCCCAGGGCUUAACCCUGGAACUGCCUUCGAAACUGUACGGCUGGAGUGUGUGAGGGGAUGGCGGAAUUCCUAAUGUAGAGGUGAAAUUCGUAGAUAUUAGGAGGAACACCGGUGGCGAAGGCGGCCAUCUGGACCAACUGACGCUGAGGCGCGAAAGCGUGGGGAUCAAACAGGAUUAGAUACCCUUGUAGUC
rnacentral:rRNA from 1 species